rnacentral:lncRNA from 1 species
UUUUGCUGGAUAUCUCUUUGUCCCUUAGGCUUUCUGAAGGCGUUCUGUGAUGCAGCAUUAUACCACGGUGAAUGGGAAUAAAGAAAACAACAAUCUAUUUAUGGGACUUCAAACACAAUGAGCCAUAUGCUUGCUUGAGCAGCAGAGCGUGGUGUGAAUAAGACGAUUGAAACACACUUGCCAAAGCGCCUGAUGUGUGCUUUCUUGCACAAAGGAAAAAAGACCUGUAUGUUAAAAUACUGUCACAAUUUCAGAUCCUUAAAGGCUGCAGGGCACAGCGAUCUAAUCCUUAGCUCACUGAAACCGGGAAAGUUUUGGCCCUUUUAUCAAGUACAAUGCAUCAAUCAGUGGGCACGCAUCCAAACCCAGCCUUCUGCUACCCUCUAUUGGGAAGAGAUGAGAUGAAGGAAACCCAUGUUCCUGCGUCAUCUGAAAUACUCCGGGAUACUCCUCCAGCCUCAGCUUCUAACCUGCAGACAGGGGGAGAUCUGAUCCAAGCAGUGUCACUCACAGCCAGUUGAUUCUGAGAUUUCUCCUGUUCUGAGUAUUCUUUUUUUUUGGUGUGUCUGGAGACACGCCAGCCUGACACUGAGCUUUUGUGCUGUGUUCCAGCCAGUCCCUCUGGGGUGACCCAGAGAUGUUUUGUCCUUGUGUACAGAUUGUUUCCUCCCAUGCACCUACAGAGCUCCCUUAAACAUCGGUGACAAAGGAGUGGCUACUGGGCAACAUCCCUAUGGGACAGGAGGGUUCUGGGGAUGUUGGGAUCUGCUGGCUGAGGGACUCUUUGUCUUCAGAUAGAAGACAGUGUUUUGCAGCAAAGAUGGGUAAUUCAAGUGGAACGCAUCCCAGGGGGUGUCGGCUCCACCAGCUGCUCCCUCUUACUUGUGGCAGAGGUAACACAGACGACCUGUGGGGUGUGCAAGUAACCCUCUGCUUUAUAGUGGUGCUUUGAAUAGGUGGAAUAGCAGCACUGCUCCCUAAGCAGGCUGCAAGUUU